UACGAAGGGGGCUAGCGUUGCUCGGAAUCACUGGGCGUAAAGCGCACGUAGGCGGAUUGUUAAGUCGGGGGUGAAAUCCUGGAGCUCAACUCCAGAACUGCCUUCGAUACUGGCGAUCUUGAGUCCGGGAGAGGUGAGUGGAACUCCGAGUGUAGAGGUGAAAUUCGUAGAUAUUCGGAAGAACACCAGUGGCGAAGGCGGCUCACUGGCCCGGUACCGACGCUGAGGUGCGAAAGCGUGGGGAGCAAACAGG
rnacentral:rRNA from 1 species